GAUGGAUUGAGAGCUUGCUCUUAUGAAGUUAGCGGCGGACGGGUGAGUAACACGUGGGUAACCUGCCCAUAAGACUGGGAUAACUCCGGGAAACCGGGGCUAAUACCGGAUAACAUUUUGAACUGCAUGGUUCGAAAUUGAAAGGCGGCUUCGGCUGUCACUUAUGGAUGGACCCGCGUCGCAUUAGCUAGUUGGUGAGGUAACGGCUCACCAAGGCAACGAUGCGUAGCCGACCUGAGAGGGUGAUCGGCCACACUGGGACUGAGACACGGCCCAGACUCCUACGGGAGGCAGCAGUAGGGAAUCUUCCGCAAUGGACGAAAGUCUGACGGAGCAACGCCGCGUGAGUGAUGAAGGCUUUCGGGUCGUAAAACUCUGUUGUUAGGGAAGAACAAGUGCUAGUUGAAUAAGCUGGCACCUUGACGGUACCUAACCAGAAAGCCACGGCUAACUACGUGCCAGCAGCCGCGGUAAUACGUAGGUGGCAAGCGUUAUCCGGAAUUAUUGGGCGUAAAGCGCGCGCAGGUGGUUUCUUAAGUCUGAUGUGAAAGCCCACGGCUCAACCGUGGAGGGUCAUUGGAAACUGGGAGACUUGAGUGCA
rnacentral:rRNA from 1 species